AAGUCUAAAAUGACUCUCGGCAACGGAUAUCUCGGCUCUCGCAUCGAUGAAGAACGUAGCGAAAUGNGAUACUUGGUGUAUNAAC
rnacentral:rRNA from 1 species